CCUACGGGUGGCAGCAGUGGGGAAUAUUGCACAAUGGGGGAAACCCUGAUGCAGCGAAGCCGCGUGAAGGAAGAAGUACCUAGGUAUGGAAACUUCUAUUAGCAGGGAAGAAAAUGACGGUACCUGACUAAGAAGCCACGGCUAACUAAGUGAAAGCAGCGGCGGAAAUAUGGCGGGGGCAAGCGUUAACCGGAUUUACUGGGUGUAAAGGGAGUGUAGGCGGUGGAGCAAGUUAGGAGUUAAAGCCCGGGGCUUAACUCCGGGACUGCCUUUGAAACUGUUGAACUUGAUUGCAGGAGAGGUAUGCGGAAUUCCUGGUGUAGCGGUGAAAUGCUUAGAUAUUAGGAAGAACUCCGAUGGCGAAGGCAGCUUACUGGACUGUAAAUGACGCUGAGGCUCGAAAGCGUGGGUAUUGAACAGGAUUAGAUACCCCUGUAGUC
rnacentral:rRNA from 1 species